UGGGAUAGCUCAGUUGGUAGAGCCUGAGACUUCUAAUCCCAGAGUCAUAAGUUCGAGCCUCACGUUGGGCCAA